rnacentral:rRNA from 1 species
UACGAAGGGGGCUAGCGUUGCUCGGAAUCACUGGGCGUAAAGGGUGCGUAGGCGGUUCUUUAAGUCAGUGGUGAAAUCCUGGAGCUCAACUCCAGAACUGCCUUUGAUACUGAGGAUCUUGAGUACGGGAGAGGUGAGUGGAACUGCGAGUGUAGAGGUGAAAUUCGUAGAUAUUCGCAAGAACACCAGUGGCGAAGGCGGCUCACUGGCCCGUAACUGACGCUGAGGCACGAAAGCGUGGGGAGCAAACAGG